GUGGGGAAUCUUCCGCAAUGGACGAAAGUCUGACGGAGCAACGCCGCGUGAGUGAAGAAGGUUUUUGGAUCGUAAAGCUCUUUCGUUAGGGACGAACGUGCUCUUUGUGAAUAAUGAGGAGUAAUGACGGUACCUAAAUAAGAAGCCACGGCUAACUACGUGCCAGCAGCCGCGGUAAUACGUAGGUGGCAAGCGUUGUCCGGAAUUAUUGGGCGUAAAGCGCGCGCAGGCGGGAUAUCAAGUCUGUCUUAAAAGUGCGAGGCUCAACCUCGUGAGGGGACAGAAACUGGUAUUCUUGAGUGUCGGAGAGGAAAGUGGAAUUCCAAGUGUAGCGGUGAAAUGCGUAGAGAUUUGGAAGAACACCAGUGGCGAAGGCGACUUUCUGGACGAUGUCUGACGCUGAGGCGCGAAAGCUAGGGGAGCGAACGGGAUUAGAAACCCUUGUAGUCC
rnacentral:rRNA from 1 species